rnacentral:rRNA from 1 species
UGCCAGCCGCCGCGGUAAUACGGAAGGUGCAAGCGUUAAUCGGAAUUACUGGGCGUAAAGCGCGCGUAGGUGGUUUGUUAAGUUGGAUGUGAAAGCCCGGGGCUCAACCCCGGAACUGCCUCCAAAACUGCCAGUCUAGAGUUCGAGAGAGGUGAGUGGAACUCCAAGUGUAGAGGUGAAAUUCGUAGAUAUUUGGAAGAACACCAGUGGCGAAGGCGACACUCUGGGCCGCUAUCGACGCUGAGGAGCGAAAGCUAGGGGAGCAAACAGGAUUAGAUA